UUUCUACGUGAACCAAGGCUUUCGAUGUAGUAGCACCAGUUAUUUGGAACACUAUUCCUAUGGAAACGAGAAAGGAAACUGAUGGAUGAGGUCAGCCAGAGGUUUGGGCUUACAUGUCACCAGUGUGCAGAUGAUGAACAGCUCUGCCUCUCAUUCCCUUUGCUUGAUCCCAGAAGGGCUGUGGAAGUGAUAGACGGGUGUCUGGAGUCAGUUUAAGAGUGAACGGGGAAUUAACUAACUUUAAGCCAAGAGAAAUUUAAUCCAGAGCUAUUCUUCGAGUGAUCUGAACACUAGUUUGGAGUGAGGUUGUGCUCUCCUUGGAGGAACAAGGACAGAAGCUGUUGGCAAGAGGAACAACUUUCCUGCAUGGGUAACAAGUGUGGCAGAACAGCACGAGGUUGAUCAACGGAUCCUUGAUUCCUCUUGCUGGAGCUUUCAAGUCCUGUUUGCAGCAGAGACCUGCAAACUGCAAAAUAUACACUGUGAA